UCAAGAGUUCUGACAUUUUCUCUUCAUCUGCUGCCUAAGCCGAUAGGUACUAAAAUGUUCAAGAUAGAGGUAUAGAUUCUUUGAACACAGUAGUGGUCCAUCUCUCUAAAAAAUUAUCCUUCAUGUUUCCUCCUUUUGUUUUCUGCUUGGGAGAAAAUUAAUGGACUUUACAUAGCUAUAGAAUUAUUAAAACUAUGAACUAUGAUUUACCCUUAAAAUAUAUCUGAAAUCAGAUACUUUUGAUGAUUCUGGACCAACAUUGUCCAAAAAAAAUGUUUUGUGAUCAUGGAAAUGUUCUAUAAUUACUCUAUAUAAUAAAGAACAACUAGAUACCUGUGGCUGUUAAUACUAGAAAUGUGACUAGUGCCAGCAGGGAAAUGAAUUUGUAUCUGUGUUAAAUUUAAAUUCUUUGUAUUUAAAUAGCCACAUGUGGCCAUUGGAUACAUAGUGGGAAGUAUAGCCUAGAUCAUUUCAGCUUCCCUUUAUUGGAGAGGUUAGUAUGAUAUACUUAUCAGUAUUAGUCUACCUCCAACCUCCACCAUCUUUAUGCUACUUUCCAUUGUUUCUAUCAUGAUCCUUUACUUCUCUUGGAACAGGUAGAACCAGAACUGCUCUUGUUUUCUGGAAAGUAUCACUUUUUGUCAUCUCUCUCUCUCUCUCUUUUUUCUCUCUCUCUUGCUUUCUCUUCCUCUUUCUUUCUCUUUUCUCUUCCUCUCUCUCUCUCUCUCUCUCUCUCUCUCUCUCUCUCUCUCUCUAUUUCUCUUUCUCUCUGUCUCACUGUCUGUCUCUCUGUGCCAAUUAUGCAAGACUCAUUAAUCAACUUAGCCUAAAACUGAGAUCAAUGUAGAAUGUGAAAAUAAAUAAAAGGCAACAUUUGUUUUUUCACUCUAUGUACCAGCUAUAUAAUACUUCUAUAUAUUAACUCACUUCUUAUAUUAGCUCUUCUGUCACUGCAGCCCUGUGAAAUCUAUGCAUAUGAUAUAAUAAUAUCUAUUUUAUGGAUCAGGAGAUUAAGGCAGAGGACACAGGUUAGUAUUUGCUAGAAGUGGGAUUUGAGGUCAAACAUUUGAUGAUAAAACUUACUCUCUGACAACAUUGCAAUGCCUCUUCUCUGCAGAGAAAUUCCUGGGAUACCACUUUGAACCCUCUCAGUGGUUGCCUUGUAAGAAUUGGGCUCUGUAAAUUAAAAAGCAAACAGAUAAGUUUUCUAUUGCAGUAAUGCAACACAGUCCUGACGCUAAUAAAUCAGUGUACAGAUCCUACAAGUUAAGGGCUCAGCCUUCAACGAGACCACCCACACUUCAGAUAUCAGCUACAAGCUCUGAGAGCUCUGAGCUCACCUGUCCUUCUGACAAACUGCCUACAAUUUUGGGAGUUUCCACUACUACUUUAAGCUCAAUAAUUCACUGGAAAGAAUCACAAAUUUCAGGAAAAAGCUACACUUUUCAUUAUAACUUUAUUAUAAUGGAAACAAAUCAGCCAAAUGAGGAAGUGUGGAGAACAAGGUCUUAGAGAGACCCCAGCAUGGAGCUUCUGUGCUUUGUCUUUAUGGAAUCAGGACACGUUGCCCUCCCAACACUCUGAUGUAUUCACUGACCAGGGAGCUCAACUGAAUUCUGGUGUCCAGAGUUUUCAUUGUGGUUUCAUUAUUUAUGUAAGAUUGCUUGACUCAUUGGCUAUGUGAUCUUAAUCUCCAGCCCUUCUCUUAGCUGGUAUCAUAUGGCCUCAUCCCUCAACUCAUGGUUGAUCUUAACAGCAUAGCUAGCCUCCUCCUGAAACUAGGGAUUCAUCAAGAGUCAUUUCAUUAGCAUAAAUACCAAGGUCUACCAUGAAUAGCAAAGAUCAUUCUGUAAUUCGAGAAAUUCCGAUGAUUAAAGACCUCCAUCUCAGAGUCUGAGAUAAAUGCUGGGCUAACUCUUCAUUAUACAUACAGAAAAUUUUCUUUCAAAUGAUUAAGAGGAAGGUUAAGGACAUAAGCAUGUCUAAUUUUUUAGUGGUUCUUGGACACAUUCAAAUACAUUAUUUCAUUUUAUCCUAAUGACCCUCCUAUGAGGAAAAUAUCAUUGAUGUAUUUGUUUUAUAGAUGGGUAAAAGAGGUUUAAUGAUGACAUUAUAUAGGAACAUCCAAAUAGUGGAUGUUGGAUGUUAAUAAUUGACGUGGAGUUUAGAUCUGUUAAUUAUAAGUCUUUGGCAUAUAUAAGAAUAGUCAAAGGGCUAAUAAUAGAGAUAGGGAUGCUCUAAAUACUAAUUUUUCUUAUCUGAAAAUGCAGAAUAGGAAUGGGCUUUCCCAGGAUAGGAUAGUAAAGGAGAAAUGUGAAGAUUUGGGAGUUAGUCUUCUUCCUAAUUUGGCAACUGACUCCUUUCCUGGUUUUCAUGUGUUUAUUUAGGAAAAGGUUAUGUAUCACUUGUAGUGCUUGUUAUAAGCAUUGAAACUACAGAAAGAAAGAGACACAGUUCCCAGGCUUAUUUGAUGGGAGCAAAGACCGUGAACAACGUAUUGUAAUAUGAGAUGGUUAAUGAAAUAAUCAAGGAAAGCACUUAGGACUGGCACCCAACUAGGAAAAAGGGGUGGUGGAUAAGUGCAGCACAGAAAGUUUGGAAGAGAGAAUGCAGAAACUGAAGCUUAGAAAUAAAUAGGAAUUAACCAGGCUUCCUGUUCCAUAGGUGAAUGGAAAGGGGAGCUGGGCUCUUUGGACUUCAGUCUAGGAGACUAAUGCAUACUAAUGAUGCCUCCAAGGCUAGCACUCUGCAGGUUCCUGUUCUGUUUGCAUUUGCCUACUGUGGCUAAAGUCUGCACAGGAUGCAUGGAGUCACCCCAGAACAGGGGAUUGGGGCAUGAAGCUGCAGACCUCAGGAAUAGCAAGAAUAUAUAUGUCUUAGGGGCUCCUUCAAGUUUUUUCAUUUGUGAAAUGAUGAUAUCGGGCUUUCUUAGACAAUCCCUGGGGUCCCUUCUGGCUCUAACAUUUCAUUAUUUUGAGGUUUUAUGAAAAAUGUUUUGCAGAGCAAAUGAAUAGUGUAAACAAGAUUAUAAAGAGAAUAUUUGCCUUCUUAAGGGACUAAACUGUUCUGAAAUACAUCAGGAGCAUUCAUUUGCAUAUAAACAACUCAAAUUCUAUAUAAGCAGAGGAGGCUUAUUUUCUUAGGUGUUUUGGUAAAUUAAUUACAAAUCAUUCUUAUCAAUUUUGCUAGUCUAUGUCUAUUAAGAAGUAAGCUGCAUUCAUUUUAAAUACCCUGUACUUUUGAAUGUUCUUCAUUUCUGUCUAUAAUACCUGACUUUUCUCUGAAUUAGCCCAAUUAUCUUCAAGUAUAUCUUUAUCCCUUAGGUUAUAGUAUAUAGGAUUUGUUUGUUCAAGAACUUAUAUAGAUUCACCUUGUGCUUAUUAGAAAUCAGAGAUGUCAGCUGAUCCCAUCCCACCUUCAGUUCAUCUUGAACUGACAUAGGACUACAUGUUAAGGGUGAAAGCCAGGCCUUCACUUUAAACUCUCAAUGCCUUAUGUUCUUUCUGCAUCUUUCUCCCCUUAUGCAUUUGAUUGUGUCUUCCUCCUACCCUGCCCCUGUAUCAAUUAGACUACAUAGAAUUACACUAAAAACUAAUACUUUGCCAAAAAUUAUUUGUUUAGACAACUAUUUAAGAUUUGUGCAUCGUUCAGAGAGAGCACUGUACACAGUACAACACCACCUGCCUGGCUUCACUGUCUCUCUGUCUCAUUCCCUGCUCUCACAGUCUUUUUCUCUUCUUUUUGUUCCCCAAACCCUUCAAUCUCCUGACAUACAACCUUCCUGGAAACAGAACACCAGAACCCUUGUCUUUAACCCAGAAAUUUAGUGAUCACUUCCUGCAGCUUUUGGCUAUUAAGGUUUUGUUCUCCAUUCCCAAGUGUCUACUGAAAACAUCCCAAGUACAUUUUGUGGUGUCAGGGUGAAUUCAGAAAAGGAUACGUGGAAGAGGCAUGCUUCCACACAGAAUGAGAGGAUGUGGGCAAGGGAAGGGAGCAGAGGUGAGUUUCCAGACAGAAAGAAGAGUCUGUGCAAACUGAAACAGUACAGGAGAACAUGGCAGGUUUAGGAACCUCAAGUAAUUCUCUGGAGUCAUGGAGAUGUAGGGUAAUCCUGAAAGGUUCACUUACAGUAGAUGGCACUAGAGAAAAAGGCAGCAAUCACAUCAUCAAUGACCUUUGUGUAUUGUGCAAAGAUAUUUUAUUUUCUCCAGGAGGUGUUGGGCUGCCGGCAUAGCACUGAACCUCUAGUAUGAUGGUUGCAAAGGUGCCAGAUAAAAGACUAGUACAAAUGUCAAGAGCCUGGAAUAAGGUAUGGGUCACUGGAUGCAGAGGAAAUAGCAUAUUCAAGAGUCAAACCAGUCUAGGCAAAAUCUAAAUUUCUGCCUUUAAGAUAGGGAAUACAGGGGUAGGAGGAGGGGUACAGAAUAGAAAGUAGAAGAUAUAAUUUCACUUGGUUUAUCAUUGGUACUAUUUUGAUAAAUUGAGCAAAGGUGUUAAUUUCUUGGUAUCAUUCACUUUCAAGUGACAGAUUGAAUAAUGUCAAAGUCAUGACUGUUUAGCAACAUGGUUGUGGAAAAUGUCUGUGACUCCUCUGCAUCUAACAAAUUUAUCCUUAUCAUUUCAUUUGAGCCAUAGACAUGGUGGUUUUUGGUUUGUUUGUGACUGUGAACUUACUAUCUGGCUAUCAGAAGCUAGACUUUCUAAUAACUGAGAGUGCUCUGCUUUAUUUUUUAAUUGAUUUAUUGGACAAUUUCAAUUUAGUGUGUGACAAAUAAAUCAUUAAACUUCUCUCUAGCUACUCCCUGCGAACACAUGGUGGUCAAAUCUCUUUUUCUGUACUUCUUCACCUUGAUAAUGUCUCAGGAAGAUUGUGUAUAUUUCUUGGCAUUUUUGAGGGUGAGAUCACUUUCAGUAGUUUAACCUGUCUGCAUAAAGACUUCUGUCUGAUACCCAGCUCAGAGCAUCACCCCUCUUGUAGGUCAUUGUAAGUCAGGGUGUAGAAAAGAGAGGAUAGUGGAAAGAAGAGGAAUUUUUGGUACUUAACUGGUUUUGCAGGUGUGAUUCUCAUCUGACUUGUCCUGCAGGCCAUCACAUCCCUGUAGGGCUAGAGCUCCAGUGGGGUCUGGAGUUCACAGAAAUUAGAUGCAGCUCCAUAAUUCCCUGACACGGAAACUUCUCUUUUAGUGGAAUGUUGGUAUCCAUUCAAAAUGGCUCUAUUUUUUUUCUAAUUACAUUCCAUGAUACUAAUAAAGUCUCUCUUAACAUCUAGUUACUUUUUUUUGGUAAAUAUGCAAAAAUGAAACAGAGGUCACGUGGGCAUAAUGUUUAUUGUUAUAUAGAACAUUUGGUGGAUGGACUAUGUGACUGGCGUAUAUAGGAUGCAGCUGAAAUUGUACCUGUCAAUCAAAUCAGAUUUAAGACUUAGAGAACAAAGAUUGUCCCUUACUGCAAAUAGAAACAAUAUAACAAUUUUUUUCUCAUGCUUUUCUUCAAUUUUCUAUUUAAAGAAAUUUCUGAGAAUACAUGAAUUAUGCAGUUUAUCUCUCAGAUGAAAAAGAAUUUUCCUCUUAGAUUGGAUGGCUGCAUAUUUAUUAAUAGCUAUAAAAUUUUCCAUGUUCUUUUGUUUCAAAUGGAAUGCUGACUAAAAUCUGAAGGAUCCAUUCCAGCAAUGAUAACAGUAAUGCAUGAAUAAUUAUAAAAGCUAUAUGGAAUUGAAAGGUAUUUUAAUUUGUCAUUACUUCUAUGUGUUCAGAAAGGAUCCAAAUAAUUAUGCUGACUAUAAAAAGGAAACCAAUGAUAUUUUCACUCAUUAUGGGAUUAAGUUCUUAAAAUACCACAUUUACUAUAAGUUGAAAAAAAAAAAACCUCUCAUCUAGUCUCAUCUAAUGAUGUAAUCAUGACUGAAGACAGCUCAGCUGAGGAUUCAUUUGGUCUUUUUACUAUGACACAGAGGUGCUAUGCUUCAAGCUCAUUUUAAUUUGAGAAGUGUUCAUCUUUGCAGUUUAUAAAAGUGAAAUUAUACUUGUUUGCUCAGUGUGAACUUCCAACCUUUGUGUCACAUUAAUUCAUGAAGAUGAGAAUGACUGUAGAAUUUCCUUAGGUCAUGACCGGAUGGUGGUGGAAACUGAAUGUGAGAUUUUUAAAACAGAAUUUUUCUCUUUAUAGCAACUAUUACAAAAUGGCUGUGCUUACCUGGAUCAUUCCAAGGCAAAAUUUCAAAGCUAUUUUUUUUUAAAUGCUUAUAGUCUUCAUUUUCUUUUGGUCUUCAUUCUACCAACAACAUUCAAAUUCUUAUUCAGAUCCUAGAAUAUUCUAUGACAGCACUUUUCUUGGAAAAUGAGAUUUCAAGAUAUGCUGUAUGUUUCUAGGUGAGUCAAUAGACUUUUCCUUUGUAGCUUUUGAACUUUGAGUUAUUAGAUUUCUAUUAAGGCAUUGGAUCUUAGUGAUGAGGGACACGAAAGUCUACAAAAGGGUUCUAACCCACUCUAGCACUUGCACCACACUCUUCCCUAAAAUAUGGCCUUAAGGCUCACAGUCAGCUACUAGAAGACACUAUUUUGACAGCCUUGUUUCAGUCAGAACACAUCACUACCAUGAGCGAAAUCCCCUGUACAUUAAUGUCAAACAAAGCUCUGUUGCCCCCUAAUUUGGUUUUAUUUUUCAGGAUUCAGAUUCUGUCUCUAACAGCUGUAUGAUUAUAUGCUAUUGAGUUAGCUAAUUUAAGCCUUAGUCUUCUCACCUUCAAAAAGAGGAAGUGGCACUCAGCUUAAAGGAGUUGUGGGGAUUAAGUCAUGAUGUAGAAUAAAUAUGAAAUGACUGACACAUAGUAGGUAUGUAAUAAAUGGUAGCAUCUUCUAAACAGAAAGAAAGAAAAGUAAUUAAAAUCCUUUAAAAUCAAUACUUUUUUGAGAAAAAAUCCAGAAACAUUUUUUUCCCUAUUAACAGAAAAUUCUGAAUGAAUGGAGAAGGAAGCCAAUGUUACUUUGAAAUAUAAGUGUUAACAACAUUGUUCUCUGCUCUGAACAAUUUGUUACAUUGUUAUAUCUGAAAAUUAAAGAUAGAUAUAUGCAGCAUGCCAUAAGUAAAAAUAAAUUUAUUAUUUUUAUGUUUGGAACAUUUGGAAUGAAUUUAGUGUCUGGACCGGCCAUGUAGAGGUAUAAAUUUUCUUCUACAUACAUGGAAAUAGCAUUGGUAAUUGAGUUAUUAUACACACAAGGUUAUUUAACACCUAAAAGAUUCACUGUAUAAAUUCAGCUUUAUCGAAAUUUGAUGGUGGAAAUAAUGUGGAGGUGGAGGUGGGUGGAGGCAGGCAGAGAGAAGAGAGGGGCAUUGGAAUAUGUAAUAUGAAAGAAGGUAAGACUGUGUUCCUUUCUGUCUUAUAGCCUGAAGAAUAAGUAGUGAAAACAUCAAUCAAGAGAUUUUAAAAAUGCCAGCAUUUCUCUGCUGUGGAGAAUCGCUUAUCAACCAUUAGAGGAGGAUCCCUUCUUGAACAAUGAACAUUUCUUAUGAGGAUUCACAGAUUAACAUAUGACUAAUCUUGAUUUUGGAAAGUGAAUGAGAUUUCUUUCUUUCCUUUUUUUUAAGUUUUGUGAUUUCCUCAGAGUAUAAAUAUUCUAUGAAAUCCUUGAUGAUUGUGAUGUAAAUCACUUCUAUCCAGAAAUAAACAUUCUUUUGUCAUCAUGUUGAACAUAAUCGGUGGCAACAUGCACAAAUCUGAACAAAUCAUUAUUAGUAGAAGAUAUAUAAUGGAGAAAUACCAGUCCUUCACCUUCAAACACGUGAGCCAGGCUUGCCAUCUGAAUGAGAGCAAGGAGGAUGAAUAAAGGAAGAAUCUUUAUCCUUUUCUUCUGAUCACUCCAAGGAUGGUUUCUCAAGGUGAAGCCAAGUCUUCUGCAAGCUGCCAAAUAGUAGCUUAGGAAAAGAAUUAGUUUGCUUGCAUGAUGAUCCUCUUAGGCAAAAAUGACUUCACAGCAGUUCACCUUGGUAAAAUCUUUUACUGAAGGCAUCCAAAAAAAAAUCAUGUACCCCAGAAUGAGAUGGAAAUUUGCAUUUCUUAUGAAGCUGGCCUGAAUUGUGGGUAUUAAUUUGGGGUACUGAUGAUCUGAAAUGAAGUAAAGAAAUCCUGAUGAAACAGCAGCCUUGGGUAGGACAAGGUCCCCUAUUUCUUCUGUUUCUCAUCGAAGUCCUGUUGCUGAGCCAAGAGUCCAUCACUUUGGGAAGAACACCACUGGAUAGAAUGACUGGAAAAAUCACCCCUCUAUGAUGGGGAACAUCUCUGAGUACAAAUCAUAAAGUUCUUUCUCCAGGUUUCAUUCCCCAUGGUGACCAGAAGUGGUGUCUUGCAGGCUGGCUACAAGCCAGGACAUUUGAGUUUCUAUUCAGGAUGCUAUCAGGCUCCAGCUGGAAUCUGGCCAGGGCUGCCCUUUGCACCUUGUGACCCACAGGUGGUUGAUCUCCAGGUGGGCAUCCUUUGUUUUCUGCGGAGAGCCAAGGUGGUUAUAACUCAGUGAGCAAUAAAUGAAAUGACACAGAAA